CGCUGUACACGGUUGCUUCACUUUGUUUCUUUGGCGCGGUACGGGACAUUCGAACCAUGGUUACGAUUCCCAUUACAAACGCCAUGAUUCCUCCGAAAAUGCUGCUGCCAAUUCUGUCACUUUCCUGUCUGCCAUUCUUCACCUGGUAACAAUCUGCAGUUGAAAUAUUAUAAUCUUUAAAGGUGGUAUCCAACCGGAUCCGGACUUUGAAUCCUAACAUUUGCAACCUUUCAAGGACUUAACCUUUAGAGAUGGCUAACAUUUCAUUUUCCACUGGUUUAGGCCAAGAAGCAUCCACACCCUUUUCAACUAUAGGAAUAAGUUCGUCAUAGGUAAAGGAAUCCUGGCAUUUUUUCUUGAUCGGAGUCUGCAAUACGCAAAAAAACAUGUUAUCUCGGGAAAGAGUUGCAGAUGCUAAAUCUCGAACCCCCGUACUGACAAC
rnacentral:lncRNA from 1 species